rnacentral:ncRNA from 1 species
UAACACCCAAAUGCGGGUAGAGCAUCGCUCGACGUGGAGUUGCGUCAUACAACCGGGUUCCGUGACCCAGAUUACGGAAGAGGCUUAGAUAGUCCUCGUGCCAAACCAAGGUAGAAGUCACAACCAAACAGUCGUGUCUUUAAUUGGUACCUGCGGAAUUGUUCCAAGGGGGCGGUGAUUGACGCUUGAAUUAAUCCUAUACUAGGAACCGUGAGAUUAAGCCAUCGCGGCAGGUGCUCACGUUAAGCCCACUGACUUUCAUGUCCCUAUCUACUAUCUAGCGAAACCACAGCCAAGGGAACGGGCUUGGAAUAAUUAGCGGGGAAAGAAGACCCUUUUGAGCUUGACUCUAAUCUGGCAGUGUAAGGAGACAUAAGAGGUGUAGAAUAAGUGGGAGAUAUUAGACUUCGGUUUGGUAUCGACAAUGAAAUACCACUACUCUUAUUGUUUCCUUACUUACUUGAUUAAAUGGAACGUGUAUCAUUUCCUAGCCAUUAUACGGAUAUAAUUAUUAUGUCUUAUGGUAUUGGGUUUUGAUGCAAGCUUCUUGAUCAAAGUAUCACGAGUUUGUUAUAUAAUCGCAAACAAAUUCUUUAAUGAGAGAAUGCAUUUAUGUAUUAUUGAUUUAAAAAUUUGGUAUAACUCCAAUUACUCAGGUAUGAUCCAAUUCAAGGACAUUGCCAGGUAGGGAGUUUGACUGGGGCGGUACAUCUCUCAAAUAAUAACGGAGGUGUCCCAAGGCCAGCUCAGUGCGGACAGAAACCACACAUAGAGCAAAAGGGCAAAUGCUGACUUGAUCUCGGUGUUCAGUACACACAGGGACAGCAAAAGCUCGGCCUAUCGAUCCUUUUGGUUUAAAGA